AACGAACGCUGGCGGCAUGCCUAACACAUGCAAGUCGAACGAGACCUUCGGGUCUAGUGGCGCACGGGUGCGUAACGCGUGGGAAUCUGCCCUUGGGUUCGGAAUAACUCAGAGAAAUUUGAGCUAAUACCGGAUGAUGACGUAAGUCCAAAGAUUUAUCGCCCAAGGAUGAGCCCGCGUAAGAUUAGCUUGUUGGUAGGGUAAUGGCCUACCAAGGCGACGAUCUUUAGCUGGUCUGAGAGGAUGAUCAGCCACACUGGGACUGAGACACGGCCCAGACUCCUACGGGAGGCAGCAGUGGGGAAUAUUGGACAAUGGGCGAAAGCCUGAUCCAGCAAUGCCGGGUAGUGAUGAAGGCCUUAGGGUUGUAAACCGCUUUUGUCAGGGAAGAAAUCUUCUGGGUUAAUACCUCGGGAGGAUGAGGUACCUGAAGAAUAAGCACCGGCUAACUACGUG
rnacentral:rRNA from 1 species